rnacentral:rRNA from 1 species
UACGUAGGUGGCAAGCGUUAUCCGGAUUUACUGGGUGUAAAGGGCGAGUAGGCGGGAUGCCAAGUCAGCGGUAAAAAUGCGGUGCUCAACGCCGUCGAGCCGUUGAAACUGUUAUUCUAGAGUAUGGGAGAGGUAGGUGGAAUUCUUGGUGUAGGGGUAAAAUCCGUAGAGAUCAAGAGGAAUACUCAUUGCGAAGGCGACCUGCUAGAACAUAACUGACGCUGAUGCGCGAAAGCGUGGGGAGCAAACAGG